UGGGAUGUCGCCAAGCGGUAAGGCACCACACUUUGACUGUGGCAUUCGUAGGUUCGAAUCCUGCCCUCCCAGCCA
rnacentral:tRNA from 1 species